rnacentral:lncRNA from 1 species
GCAGCUUUGGCAGCUACACAGGGAGAUAACUGCCUGUUUAAAUGUAGGCACCUUUUCCUAUUUUUGACCUGUCAGAGUAGCGGAAACAUUCUAAUGGGGCUGGUGGAUAGAGUGCAAAGUCGAAAGGCAAAUUGCACUCUUCUGUAGAAGUGUAUCGUUUGGCCCCUAAAAUUGCUCUAAUAAGCAAUGCUUAGGCAACUGAAUUCCUUCCCUUCAGUCAUAUAGCAAUCAUACUGCAUAGGCAGUUUUUCUGCUGCUUAUCCCUUAUAGGCUAAAAAGCUGUUUUUCUUCUUGAAAACAGACCUUGCUCCAUAUCAUCAUAUGCCUUAGAAGAAAGAAAGACAGACUGGGACCUGCGGAUGUCGUUACUUUGAGACAACUGGUUAGGAUAGUUAGCAGAUAGUUUUAAAGUUAGGAUGGCCUGCAAAGAAAGAACAUGACUUGGGUACCUACCUUCAGCAAGUCACCUAAGAACUUUGCUGGAUGGAUGGAUCUGCGCAGAAAGGUGCAUAUAUCCUACCUGUGGAAACAGCAAGAGUGUGUAAGUGCUUAAGUGAGGUGCAAGGAAAGCUGGUACAAUCCCAUCAGAAGAAACGGAUGUUUCCUUAGACUACAGAGCCUUCUCCAAGUAAUACCCACCAAACUCUAUCAAUUACUUCUUCCGGAAACUUAGAAAAGCUGCACUUUUGAAGGCAAAACUAACAGAAUUUUCAUCUAAUUAUUUAGGCUCCAUAAGGGACUGCCAGAUAACAUACAGGAUACAGUACAUUUCUGCUUAUUCAAUGAAAUGAGAGGGUUAAAAAUAAUAAUCCGAGAAAUGUUUCAUAAUACUCAAAAGAAAAUUGUUUUCUCCUGUGGAGGGGGACUAAAGCCCUUUUCUGACCUUGCCUGGACAAGAAUACUGCUGAAUGGUGACAACCAGAACAUUAACAUGAUCACAGCUGAUGCCAGUGAAUAUACUAAAGUAUGCUAUGUUUCAUACAUACAUACCACCACUUCCUUCAUGAAUAUAGAGGUCCAUCUACUGCCAUGUGAAUUGGAAGCCAACUCAAGUAAGGAAAUAUAACAGAAACCUGUAACAUCUCCAUAGAAGAGGGAGAGCUAAAUGUUUGAUCUCAAAACUGGAAAGCAGAUGAAAGAAGUGGCAAAUGACAGAGAAGGUUGGAAGAGUCUAGUUUCUGCCUGCUCGCCAGUGUUGGCAAAGGAAGAAUAGACAGACGAA